UACGGGGGGGGCAAGCGUUGUUCGGAAUUACUGGGCGUAGAGGGCUCGUAGGCGGCCAACUAAGUCAGACGUGAAAUCUCCCGGCUCAACUGGGAAACUGCAUCGGAAACUGAUCGGCUUGAAGAUGGGAGAGGGUAGUGGAAUUCCCGGUGUAGUGGUGAAAUGCGUAGAUAUCGGGAGGAACACCAGUGGCGAAGGCGACUACCUGGCCCAUUCUUGACGCUGAGGCGCGAAAGCUAGGGGAGCGAACGGG
rnacentral:rRNA from 1 species